rnacentral:rRNA from 1 species
GUCAAUGCUCGCAAGAGUGAACUAGCUAACUGAAAUCACAGGAUCCAUUAUGUGUGGUGAAUGUAAUAACGUAAGGGAAAAAAAUGAUAUUACCUUACUAUAAGUGUUGUCCAAAACUGGUGCCAGAAGACUCGGUAAGACCAGAGACGCAAACGUUAGUCGUCCUAAUCAGGCGUAAAGGGUAUGUAGGCUGCUUUAAAAGUUUUAUAUUUAAUAGCUAAUGUAAGAAAAUUUAAUAAAAUUUUUACAGAAAAAUAUAAAAUUAAUUAAAGCUAGGAUCAAAUGGAGGAUAAUAAAUAACACCUAGUGUAGGGUUUAAAUCUGAUGAUAUUAGGUGGAAUACUAAUGGUGAAAGCUUUUUAUCUAGAAAUGAUUGACGCUGAGAAACGAAGGUGAGAAUAGGAAAUAGGAUUAGAUACCCAGAUACCUCUCACAGUCAACGAUGAAUGGUGGUUGUUAGUUUGUUUUAUUAAACUGAUAACGAUGUUAACACGAUAACCAUUCCGCCUUGCGAGUACGGUUGCAAAACUGAAACCAAAAAAAUUAGUCGGUCUCGAAGCAAACGAAGUGAAGCAUGUUAUUUAA